rnacentral:RNase_P_RNA from 1 species
CGGUGCUGAUGAGCGAUUUUCGCUUAUGGCAUUGAGGAAAGUCCACCCACUGGGCUUUCAGGAUUAAUCUUGAAGGCUUUAAUGCUACUCACGGAAGUGAGCUCUGGAAACAGAUGGCAACCACUCAGAAACGAGACCGCUGCAUUUAAGUAUGAUGUCACUGAAGAUUUUCGCGAGAGAAUCGAGCUGAAGGACUGACGUUAAUGCACGCACGGGUGAAACGGUGAGUCCUGGCAGGUGCAAGUCUGUAUUAAGACGCUUAGUUUAAUGCUAAGACAGGCUAUCGUGAUGUUAUAUCACAUUCAGGGCCUGACAAAAGGUGGCUUAUUCAAGCCCUG